rnacentral:rRNA from 1 species
UCACUUAUAGAUGGACCCGCGCCGUAUUAGCUAGUUGGUAAGGUAACGGCUUACCAAGGCAACGAUACGUAGCCGACCUGAGAGGGUGAUCGGCCACACUGGAACUGAGACACGGUCCAGACUCCUACGGGAGGCAGCAGUAGGGAAUCUUCCGCAAUGGGCGAAAGCCUGACGGAGCAACGCCGCGUGAGUGAUGAAGGUCUUCGGAUCGUAAAACUCUGUUAUUAGGGAAGAACAAAUGUGUAAGUAACUGUGCACAUCUUGACGGUACCUAAUCAGAAAGCCACGGCUAACUACGUGCCAGCAGCCGCGGUAAUACGUAGGUGGCAAGCGUUAUCCGGAAUUAUUGGGCGUAAAGCGCGCGUAGGCGGUUUCUUAAGUCUGAUGUGAAAGCCCACGGCUCAACCGUGGAGGGUCAUUGGAAACUGGGAAACUUGAGUACAGAAGAGGAAAGUGGAAUUCCAUGUGUAGCGGUGAAAUGCGCAGAGAUAUGGAGGAACACCAGUGGCGAAGGCGACUUUCUGGUCUGUAACUGACGCUGAUGUGCGAAAGCGUGGGGAUCAAACAGGAUUAGAUACCCUGGUAGUCCACGCCGUAACGAUGAGUGCUAAGUGUUAGGGGGUUUCCGCCCCUUAGUGCUGCAGCUAACGCAUUAAGCACUCCGCCUGGGGAGUACGACGCAAGGUUGAAACUCAAGGAAUUGACGGGACCCGCACAGCGUGAGCAUGUGGUUUAUCGAGCACGCGAGACUACAAAUCUGACAUCUUUGAAACUCUAGAGAUGAGCUCCCCUCGGGGACAAGUGACAGGUG